rnacentral:lncRNA from 1 species
GGGGAGGUGGAGGCAGGCUGAAAGGCAGGGAGGGGACAAGCAAGGCUGUGGGUGAGGGGGACCGUUCUGGAACACGGAUGUCGGGAGGAUUCCAGACAGGUCAGCAGAGGUAGGAAAAGAAAGAAGGGCUGGAAACGUGAGCGGCCACCAUAUGUGCACACGCUCAUACACGCAGUGCUUGCAACAUACCAUUAAAAUAGAGGGAGAAACGUUCUGGUUUCCCUAGCAACAAGGCCUAUUGGUGCCUCAGCCAGAGAAACUUAUUGGGGGGGGGAAGACGUUUGCCUGUUAAGGAGCCUGAUGAAUCGGAAGAUAAUUAUACAGCGUUCUGCCAUCGCUAAGGACACAAAUACGCUCCAGAAAAUAUUUUAAAGAGCACAGAUUGCCACAAAUCCCACGAAGGCAGGGGUGGGGUCGAGAGACAGCAGGCAGGGAAAAAAGACUACUGGAGUGAGUCUAGGUGAACACCCAGAGGGGCCGGCAAGUGUGAGGGACUGACCGGAACUGGGGGCUAUGCCGGUCACGUGACGUCUACUGCAAGACAAAGCUGGACAUACUCGUUCUCAAUUCUCAGGGCCCGCACAUGGAGUCCUUUAAGAAUAGGAUGUGGGGUGGAGUUUUGAGAACGCGGUAAGACUUCUGCAUGAGAGAAGAAGGCAGGCCAGGCAGCAAGUAGAGCCUGAACAGCGACAAAACAGUGAGCGAUUUCACAGCGUUUGGGAGAGCUGCUGCGGACACAAUACAGCAGGUCUGCACAAUCUUUCAGAUGGAUGGAAAUAUCAAAGGACAAACACAAGACAGGGUGAUGUUUGCAAAUGGAGACCUGUGCAAAGUGCAACUGGGUGCAUCUGUGGUGUCUGGAGAAUUCCAGGACAAUGGAAUUCAAAUCUACAGAAAUGGGCCAAGAGGUGAGGAAGAACACCACAGACAGCUUGAACAAGGCCUAACAAGUCCUAAAGGAUUGUUGUGAAGAUCAAAUAAAACAAUAAAUGAACAAGUUUUCUGUUAAUGAAUUCAGUGGCCACAUAAUGGAGUUAGUGGCUUCCAUUGUUCAUUUAAUCUGCACUAUACUCCAGUGCCGUGGACAUGGCAGGCUUCAUCUGAAAACAUGAGCCCAGGACAUAUUCAGUGACUUGCUAAAACUCAACAGCCACUGCACAAGAGAGCCAGGAUUCAAAACGGAGCUUCCUGACUGUAAGUGCUUUUCUCACUAUUAUGAUGAAUCAUAUGAAAUAGUUAUGUUUGU